AGCUCAAGCUAGAGCUAACAAGCACCUGUCGAUGUGCGACAUCGCCGCCGACGAGCAUAGUUGUUUUUUUGUCGGCGUGCUCACCCGUUCUAUGCGUCAGUGCACCUCACACAUAGCUGUUCCCUAUGGUCAUUUCAGCGCCCGGACACCAGGUGUCGUUGACUUUUCCGUGAAUUACUAACAUGUGCCCCCAUACGCAUGUUUUUCCCCCUAUGUCCAAAUUAUUAUAUAUUAUCAUUUAGAAGAAUCAUAGUCUGCCCUUUUCACAAUCUAAAAGUUGUGAAGUAUCUUACAAAGACAGAAAUUCCCCAAGCCAUUCAACGCUCCUGCAGAUCAAUGAUCCCAGUUGCUAAGCAACCAGCUGAUGGCGAGGAUGACGAAGGAGGAGGAGAGCGAGUGAGCAAAAAAGGAAGACGCACAGAGGCCUGGAGAAGGAGUAAAUUGACGAUAGGAAGUAAGAGUGUGUGUCAAAUCACCAGCUCGCGUGUGUCAUUGUGUUGAUACUAUGGCACUAGAAAUAGAACACGGCGCUGCCAGGGUGACGCCAGCAGCUGAUUGAAUUAUCUUUAUCUUAAAGCAGGAACGAAGUGCUUAAGCAGGGGAAGGAAGGAGGAGGAGAAAGAGGUGGUGGUGGUCGGGGGGGGGGGGGGGGCAGACGAUGCAUUUGGAAAGUCUUUUUGAAUAUGAGGCCACAAGCUUGGCGCACAUCUGGUCAGUUUUGUUCAAUCCCUCAUCAAAGAACUCCGUAUUUACAUUGGGAAAAUGUAAAUGUAAAACAAAGGUUUUUGUAGUUGUCAUGAUGGGGGGUUGUGUAAAGAAUUUUGCGGAAUAAAUGAAUUUAAUCCAUUUUGAAAUAAGAUAGUAACAUCAUGAAAUACAGUAAACCCCACUUAUUCGCGUUUGACAUGUUCAAUCUUUGACACUGAAAUUUUGAUUUGAGAGUGUCAUAUCACAAAUUGUGGAUAAGUUACACUGUAUGUAGAGAGAUGCUCAGGGAACCGGGUGGGAGGGGGCAGAGGAGGGCUGUGUAUCCCAGGGGAGGCCUCCGUGACUGGGUUAGAAUAACGCCGGCAGCCAUGGAGGCUCUUAAACUUUAUGGAGGGUACAAAAUGGACAAUUAGCAUCUUCUAUGUCAUCGCCAUAGUAACCCUCCUUUCCCUGCCCACUCUUCCUGAACUGUGAGCCCCUUUCAGGAACACCCCCACCACCACCACCACCACCACCAGCACCCCCUUCCUUGCCACACCUUAAGGAAACUUGCUUUGUUGAGUCAAUGAAAUCUGUGAUUGUGCUUUUUCCUUUGUCUGUGUUUUACCAUUUAUUCGUGAUCUCCGCCGAGGACAUCCAUACUGUAUGUAUGUACGUACUUCUAAGCAAAUCAUUCAUAGCGACCAGCCUUCUGAAGGUUGUCAUGCCGACGCAGCAGCUUCCUUGCAGCUGUGCUCAGGGUUAAAGUUUUUUUUCUUUUUUGUCUAUGUGCGCUCACUUUCGGAGCGGCUCAUAAACAGCCAAGCCGAUGACCAGCAGCAUAUUGCCACCUCUUAGUUUGAUUUGGUCUCUUGUUGAACAGUCACUCUCCAUCAGCCGAUCAGUGCUACUUCCUGAUGAGACUUUUAAUGACACAGGGAUGGACAAUGCGUGUCUGUGUGCAUGUCCAACUUAGUGCACAUGCGCUAACGCUACAACUUGCAAUCCUUAGAUAAGGACAGCCCGUUGCUAUUGUUAUAAAUGAUCAAGAGAUUGCAGUCAGGUGACCUCUCUCUCUUGUGCGCACGCGCGCCCACAUGGCUGUUUGCACUAUUGGCAAGCGGAAUUAGUGAAUGUACGAGCUACACAGAAACUCAUUAUAACGCGAUUAGAGGCAAACCUUCCGUUUAAUCUCAUUUAGGACGAGGUGGCUGCCCAUCAAGCGCAGUGGCACUAACUCAGGCCCGCGUGCACACGCGCGCACCCCUUUCGCAGCAGGUGUGUGCUGAGUGAGAUGCCCCGCGUGCCAUGUUUUCAUGUUUUACACACGCUGCUUCGUUCUAUCAUAUCAGCAGCCCUGCAGCCAACUCAUAUGUGUGAGUGUGUAGCGCAGAAAACUGACACACGCAUACGAAGUGUGGCUUGCUCACACUCUUGCAUGCACAAGGAUGCUGAUGGUUGAAUUUUUAUUUGGGGCAUAUAUUCCAACACAUUACCCUACCCCCAUACACACACACACAGGCACUCCCAUACACUAUAUGUGAUAUAUGCACAGCGACCUUCUCAUUGCAGAGUAGGCGAAGAGUCAGGGGCCAGUGGUUGCUGUCAGCUUGUCAAAGGGAAUGACGUGAAUGCAAGGGGGGGGGGGGAGGCUGGAUGAUUGGAUGGAUGUGUCCAUUUUAGUGUUCCAAACGGGUGGAAAUUUUCAUGUAAAUAUCCGUGGGAAUUUAAGCUGUUAAAUGUUGGGAAAACUCCAAAUUGAUGAUUCAUUGAUGGCAAUAAAAUGGGGGUUGAGGCUAAUUUAUCUGAGAAUUAUCUACUUAACUGCUGGGUUGAAAGUACACUGCCCCGAAUGCAGAGUCGGUUUGUGCAUCCUUUAUGCAGUGAUUUACGCUGCUCCUGGGAAAACAUGGAGGAGCGUUAUUUGAUAACAACUUUGGCUCCAAAAGGUCAACUUGGUCUGGGGAGGGCGAGGACGGAGAGGAAAGCCAAGCAGUUACUUUGAUGAGGGGUGUUGGUAUGUCCAUUGGAAAUGCAAACGGUGCUGAUGCUGAGAUUGUUACCAUAGUAAUGCCUGCUCCCGCAGUCCCCGUUUCCCCCCCCCCCCCCCCCCACCCCCUCUCACACAUCAGAUCGCAGCUCCUCGGGCUGGCAUUUAACGUCGGCGCGGCUCUCCGUGGUCUUAAAUAUGCUUAAUAUCUGCUUGACGGCCGCGCAGUGUGGUCACACAGACGCUGUUAAUCAGCCCUUAAUGCCUCGCCGGAGUAAAUACGUCCACAUAAGCACGUAUUUGCCCAAAAGGGCGCGGAGAAUGCCGCUAUUAUUGGAGAGUGUACGCGUGUGUUUGAUUGUCUUUUCACAGGAGACAAAGCGGCCUGGUGCCAAAUUUCCUCAACAUGCUCGAUAAAGGUGAGUGCUAAAGCCGAAAGAAAAUGUGGCCGAGCUGACACAUAAUUAACUUCAGUGUCACCUUGACCCAAUCAGUCAUGUAC